ensembl:lncRNA CROCCP3 CROCC pseudogene 3
GAAUUACAGGCUUGAGCCACUGCGCCUGGCCUGGUCUAGUCUCCUUUUAGAGAUGAGAAAACUGAGGCUCAGGGAGGUAACCUGUUCAAGGUCAUGAACUGUCUUGAAGACCAUAGUUGCAAGUGACAGAGCUGGGUCUCAGAUGCAACCUCAGACCUGAUACUGACUCCAGAGCUGUGCGCCUAAGCACUAGAGCACAUAGCCUCCUUGCCCCAGGGAAAGAACAAUGGGAGGUUGUGGGUGACCUCUGGGUCUCAGGGCCCUGGGAUAUAGGGACUGUGCCUUUUUUUUUUUUUUUUUUUUGAGACAAAGUUUCGCUCUUGUUGCCCAGGCUGGAGUGCAAUGGCAUGAUCUCAGCUCACUGCAACCUCCGCCUCCCAGGUUCAAUUGAUUCUCCUGCCUCAGCCUCCCAAGUAGCUGGGAUUACAGGCAUGUGCCACCACACCCGGCUAAUUUUUGUAUUUUUGGUGGAGAUGGGGUUUCGCCAUAUUGAUCAGGCUGGUCUCGAACUCCUGACCUCAGGUGAUCCGCCUGCCUUGGCCUCCCAAAAUGCUGAGAUUACAGGUGUGAGUGCCCAUGCCUGGCAGGACUGUGCCUUUUGCAUUUUCAAAUGAAGGAAAUGAGUAUUUCUUGAGUGUUGACCGUGUGUCCCCCCGGCACCGUGUCAUGUGCUGGUUAUGCACACACGAUAUUCUGUUUCAUCCCCGGACAGCUCUGUGAGCCCCCACCCCAGAGCCUGGAGUUGCAGAGGCAGCUACAGGAGGAGCAGGCCUCCUACCAGCGCAAGCUGCAGGCCUACCUGGAGGGCCAGCAGCGGCAGGCCCAGCUUGUGUGCAGCGGCUGCAGGGCAAGUACAAGAAGAGGUACUCGGAGCUGGAGCAGCAGCUGCUGGAGAGAUCCGGAGAGCUGGAGCAGCAGCGGCUAAGGGACACAGAGCACAGCCAAGACCUGCAGAGUGCCCUCAUCCGGCUGGAGGAGGAGCCGCAGAGGAGUGCCAGCCUGGCCCAGGUGAAAGCCAUGCUCCGAGAACAUCUGGACCAGGCAGGCUCGGCCAACCAGGCUCUGAGUGAGGACAUACAAAAGGUGACCAAUGACUGGACACGCAGCCGCAAGGAGCUGGAGCAGCGGGAGGCGGCAUGGAGGCGCGAGGAGGAGGACCUGCUGCAGCUGGGAGGGGAGCUGGCCCGGACAUCACGAGCUGUCCAGGAGGCGGGCCUGGGACUGAGCACGGGCCUGUGGCUGGCAGAGAGCCGGGCCAAGGCAGCCCUGGAGAAGCAGGCCCUGCUGCAGGCCCAGCUGGAGGAGCAGCUGCGGGACAAGGUGCUCCACUAGAAGGACCUGGCCCAGCAGCAGAUGCAAAGUGACCUGGACAAGGCUGACCUCAGUGCCAGAGUGACAGAGCUGGGCCUGGCAGUGAAGCGUCUUCAGAAGCAGAAUCCGGAGAAGGAUCAGGUCAACACGGACCUCACUGAGAAGCUUGAGGCCCUGGAAUCCCUGCGGCUACAGGAGCAGGUGGCCCUGGAGACAGAGGACGGAGAGGGGCUACAGCAGAGCCUAAGGGACCUGGCACAGUCCGUCCUGUCGGACACAGAGCGGCGUCCAGCUGAGCGGCUCCGAGCGCACCGCGGAUGACUCCUUCGGCAGCCUGCGGGGGCUCUCGGCCCAGCAGACCCCGUCCCCACCGCGGCGCUCCUCGCCCGGCCGAGGCCGUUCACCCCGCCGAGGCCCCUCCCCGGCCUGCUCAGACUCCUCCACGCUCGCCCUGAUCCACUCCACCUUACACAAGCACGAGCUGCAGGUCCAGGACAUGCGUGGGCGCUAUGAGGCAAGCCAGGACCUGCUGGGCACCCUGCGGAAGCAGCUUAGCGACAGCGAGAGUGAGCGGCGGGCCCUAGAGGAACAGCUGCAGCGCCUGCGGGACAAGACCGACAGCACCAUGCAGGCCCACGAGGACGCCCAGCGCGAGGUGCAGCGGCUGCGGAGCGCCAAAGAGCUCCUGAGAAGGGAGAAGAGCAACCUGGCCCACAGCCUGCAGGUGGCCCAGCAGCAGGCCAAGGAGCUGCGGCAGGAGCGGAAGAAGCUGCAGGCUGCCCAGGAGGAGCUGCGGCGCCAGCGGUACUGGCUGGGGGAAGAGCAGGAGGACGCAGUGCAGGAUGGUGUGCGGGUGCGCCGGGAGCUUGAGCACAGCCAUAGACAACUGGAGCAGCUGGAAGGGAAGCGCUCAGUCCUGGCCAAGGAGCUGGUGGAGGUGAGGGAGGCGCUGAGCCGCGCCACACUGCAACGGGACAUGCUGCAGGCCGAGAAGGCCGAGGUGGCCGAGGCGCUGACCAAGGCUGAGGGCAGAGGAGGCCUCCCUGCAGGACUCCCUGUCCAAGCUGAGCGCCCUCAACGAGAGCCUUGCUCAGGACAAGUUGGAUCUGAACCGCCUUGUCACCCAGGCCACAGCUGGAGGAAGAAAAGUGCGCCCUGCAGGGCCGGCAGCGGCAGGCGAAGCAGGAGGCCACAGUGGCACGGGAAGAGCAGGAGCGGCUGGAGGCGCUGCGGUUGGAACAGGAGGUGGCGCGGCAGGGCCUGGAGGGCUCCCUAUGAGCGGCGGAGCAGGCCCAGGAGGCAGUGGAGCAGCAGCUCCCCACGCUGCAUCAUGAGUGCAGCCGGCUGCAGGAGCAGCUAGCGCAGAAACACCCUCAAAGACACAGUGAGAAAUAAUGUCUAACCAAAUGUCUGGGCACCCCCGACCCAGGCAAAUUGACACAAAAAUUAAUUUUCACAAAUACUAUCAAUAGAAGUGACUAAUAAAUGUGGCAUCAUGUCCUGCCUGUUUAUCCCAUGACAAUUAGUAUAGUCGAGCGUAACAUUGGCUUCCGUUCCCUUAUAGUAGCAACAUGUAGGAGUUUCAUUUAAAGUGAGGAUAAUUUUGACCUUACAGAGUUUCUCCCUACCCCUAUCUACCAUUGCCACUUGUGGAUUGUCAUUUUGCCAUGACUUUCUUUUAAAAAAUAUCAAUAAGCUCUAUACUUCAGUAAUGUAAGUUUGAAUUUCAUCCUGGCUGCAUAAGUCACUUUCCAUUUUGACAAAGUCUAGAAAUAUUUUUCUCCAUCUCCUUGAAUAUGGGUAAUGGAUACCUAUUGUGGGGCCCACUCUCAAUCUCAUGGUUUUAUUUUAAUUUAGUUCUCAAUAGAUAUGCCUCAGCUGCUUAAAAACCAUUGAAAAUGGCCCAUGGCCUUGUCCAUCUAACAGAGUCCAGUAAAAUCCUGACAAUGGAAUGGGGAGAGAGAAAGUGAGAACCACCAAACUCAGCACAAAACGACUGAGUUUAAACCUCUGUGCUAAGAGAUGAUCAGAGUCUAUCAUGGCUUCUAGUAGCAUGAGACCAUGUCUCACGAAUGACCCUAGGCUCCCAUGACAAUGCCUACCUAAGAAAGCUCAAGGCUGCCAGGGGAACUUACUUUAGUCUAGCCAAUACUUGAUGAUGGCAGUUUCAGGAUCUUUCUUUCUUAUAGCACUUACUAAGAAGGGAAUCCUUCCUCCAUCCCUUUGAUAUAUGUGUGUAUCUCCUAGGGACUUCAAUGUAUCUUUGCCCAGGAUCUGAAAGGCAAUACUUUUGAGGUGUAGUUCUCAGGAAGGACUGAGCCUCUGUCUUCCAGUCUCUGUGGGAGGUUAGAAUCCUAACUUCUAAUAUUGCCAGCUGGCAGACACAGCUGUCCUGAUGAGGCAGACAUUUAAAAUGACCAAUCUUUUGUAAUGUUUCACUUGUGCCCUGCCCCCUGCCCUCUCCCCUGCCUCUCUCUCCCAUUAGAAUGCCAUCACCUCUGCACAAAUGCGAACAGAACCAGCCCCUUCCUCUACGGUCAGUAGUUACUGAAUAAAAUUGGUUUUCAUCGAUUUGACUAAUGUCUGAUAUAUCUUUGACAAAAUAAGUGUGAAUGAUUGUUUUUAGAGACACGGCAGCUGCAAAGAGAGGCACAGACAUGGCAGGAGAGGGAGGGGUCACCUGACCCUUCUCAUUUCAUAGGCAUCUAUUCCUGCCUGGUGUUUAUGAGCCUGAGACUUGGCAGGGCUGUCCUGGUAUAUAACUCCAUGGCUCUGCAGCAAGACUCGAAUAGGCUGGUGGUGACACUUGGUGUGACCAGUCACCUUCAAAGAUGCCAUUAAGGGUUCACAAGAAAAUGAAGGGAAACAGAAAAACUGAUUAUGAAAGUUGUUGCCUCUCCUGCUUCUUCAUACAGAGUGUGUAUGAUAUUGCUGUGUGAUGUUAGACUGCAACUUAGCCCAACAGCUGUUCUAGUAAUUGGCAGUUUCUCAUCGAGUUAAGCCUACCUGAUAAAGAAGCACGCUUACAUUUAUUGAUUACCCCCGUAAAAUGAACAAUACAUCCAACAAGGCUUCUAGCAAAAAUGUUCUUAUUAACCUCCUUUUUAUACUAAGGAAAAACUGGGUACAACACAAAUCUUCAUCAACAGAAGAAUACCAACUGUUAUACAGUCAUAAAACGAUCCCAGAAGUUCACUCCAUACCAUCAAAACCAGGAACCCACACUGAUGCCCCUGAUGGCAGAAAAUCAUGAUACAAAAAUGAGAGAAACGAGAGAGAGAAAAUGUACUAGAGUCAUGGUAGUGGGUAAAAGCCAAAGAGCUCAGUUUCUACUCAUGAUAUUCAUUAGAAGAACCAAAGGAACAUGAGCCAACAGCUGUAAGGGUCCAGGUCUGCACAAGGUGCCUGUUGGGUGCAGGGUUCUGUUGGCUCCAGUGAUAUAUCUCAGGUGGGCUAAUUUUUACGGACAUAGCCGCUGCAAAAAUCUAUCAAACAAUAAUAAAGGGAUAGCUACUUGCAUGCUAAUUUACCAUUGUAUAGAAGGGAGAACAGGCAUCAGAUUGUUUUCGUCAAAUAAAAGCAAAACCAAGAUUUAUGAAGAAAAGAGGAAAGAGGAAAAAAAAUCGCCUGGGACCUUUGUGAUUUUGCUCCCCUUGGAUAAGAGACUUGACAGAAAGCUUUCAAAGAGGUCACUGUGGCCUGUCUUCUUGAGACACACGACACUUGUUCACCACGGAAAACAAUUACAGAUGUUGGAGGACUUUAAAAUAUCCUAGUUUAGCAGUUCAUCCUAUGCCACAGAAUCUGUGUGUGAUGUCCACCAUGUCCUUCUGUGGUACACCCCUUCAGUUAAGCCAGGAGGGUGCCUCUCCCCUCAGUGGAAUAUCAUACAUCAAUGUGUAGAAAGUUUGUUGUGCUGGCAAGUAAAUGACAAAAGGGACAUUGAUAGAAUUAGGAAACAAAUUGGAAUAUGAUCUGUUACCGUUCCCAUGGAAGAUAAAUUUGCAGAAUAUACUCAAAUUAGAAGCAUUAAAUAAAUGCUGUAAUUUAAAAUGGC